AUUGGACGCUGGCGGCAUGCCUUACACAUGCAAGUCGAACGGUAGCAGGUCUUCGGAUGCUGACGAGUGGCGAACGGGUGAGUAAUACAUCGGAACGUGCCCGAUCGUGGGGGAUAACGGAGCGAAAGCUUUGCUAAUACCGCAUACGAUCUACGGAUGAAAGCAGGGGACCGCAAGGCCUUGCGCGGACGGAGCGGCCGAUGGCAGAUUAGGUAGUUGGUGGGAUAAAAGCUUACCAAGCCGACGAUCUGUAGCUGGUCUGAGAGGACGACCAGCCACACUGGGACUGAGACACGGCCCAGACUCCUACGGGAGGCAGCAGUGGGGAAUUUUGGACAAUGGGCGAAAGCCUGAUCCAGCCAUGCCGCGUGCAGGAUGAAGGCCUUCGGGUUGUAAACUGCUUUUGUACGGAACGAAAAGACUCUUUCUAAUAAAGAGGGUCCAUGACGGUACCGUAAGAAUAAGCACCGGCUAACUACGUGCCAGCAGCCGCCGUAA
rnacentral:rRNA from 1 species